rnacentral:lncRNA from 1 species
UGGGCAUUGAUGAGCAGGUUGAGGUGAUCUGAUCUGAGGGCCAUGGGAGCCUUCUGAGAUCACACUAUGGGUACUUGCCCUGACAUAUGAAGCCCUAGCAUGAAAGAGCUUCUACAAGCUCAGCAAUGCAGUGCAGCUCAGCCCCACAUGAAGAAUGCAUGAUGGAGUGCUAGGGAAGUUCUGAAGCUCUCCAAGGAACACACAGUAUAAUCACAGGGCCAGAUGCUGCUAAGUUAGGGCGGUAGUGGCCUGAGCAGGAGCGUCUCGAUAAAAACACCCUACAACAACAGAAACGUGGAUCCUCAGAGACAGAGGAAUGUGGGACUCCCAGCAUAACAACACCAAUCCUCUCUAAGGAAAUGCUCCCCCACUACUCUGGCUACCUCUGAUCCCUUUUACAAGAGCCCUCCUGCCUCCCAAGCAGUCACGAUCACAAGGUACGUGAGAGCUGGAACACUGCCUGGUGCUCCAAAGCCCCCUCACAACCAGGCACAGUGCUGCAACAUGGCAGAUGCUAUGAAGAGGUUGAUUCAGCAGUUGUGACGAGAUUGUGGCUUCUCAGUCCUGCUCACAAUCCAGCGUGCUCCAGAAAGGAGGUUUCAAUCCUUCUCUCCACACCAGCCAAAGAAGUGGUGACUAAGCAACCAGUAAUUACAAGGAAAAAGAAAAAAGUCUCGGUUUCUGCUUAAGAUGGAAACGAUGGCUUCCUCAAAUUCCUGUCACAGAGAAUAUACUUGUGAGAUCAGCAGCCUGAUGUGUGUUAGUGCUUCCGGG